AGCGAACGCUGGCGGCAGGCCUAACACAUGCAAGUCGAACGAACUCUUCGGAGUUAGUGGCGGACGGGUGAGUAACACGUGGGAACGUGCCUUUAGGUUCGGAAUAACUCAGGGAAACUUGUGCUAAUACCGAAUGUGCCCUUCGGGGGAAAGAUUUAUCGCCUUUAGAGCGGCCCGCGUCUGAUUAGCUAGUUGGUGAGGUAAAGGCUCACCAAGGCGACGAUCAGUAGCUGGUCUGAGAGGAUGAUCAGCCACAUUGGGACUGAGACACGGCCCAAACGCCUACGGGAGGCAGCAGUGGGGAAUCUUGCGCAAUGGGCGAAAGCCUGACGCAGCCAUGCCGCGUGAAUGAUGAAGGUCUUAGGAUUGUAAAAUUCUUUCACCGGGGACGAUAAUGACGGUACCCGGAGAAGAAGCCCCGGCUAACUUCGUG
rnacentral:rRNA from 1 species